rnacentral:rRNA from 1 species
CUGGCGGCGUGCUUAACACAUGCAAGUCGAACGCGAAAGGGACUUCGGUCCUGAGUAAAGUGGCGCACGGGUGAGUAACGCGUAGAUAACCUGUCUUCAUGUCUGGAAUAAUACGCCGAAAGGGGUACUAAUACCGGAUAUUCUUGCUUUUCAUAAGUUAUGCAAGCAAAGGUGGCCUCUGCAUAUGCUACUGCAUGAAGAGGGGUCUGCGUACCAUUAGCUAGUAGGUGGGGUAAUGGCCUACCUAGGCGACGAUGGUUAGCGGGUCUGAGAGGAUGAUCCGCCACACUGGCACUGGAACACGGGCCAGACUCCUACGGGAGGCAGCAGUGAGGAACAUUGCGCAAUGGGGGAAACCCUGACGCAGCGACGCCGCGUGAGUGAGGAAAGGCCUUCGGGUCGUAAAGCUCUGUCAAGAGGAAAGAAGUGCACAAUGGCUAAUACCUGUUGUAUUUGACGGUACCUCUAAAGGAAGCACCGGCUAACUCCGUGCCAGCCGCAGC